CCGGCAGAUGGGGGGGGUGGGGGUUGGCGGAGGAGGUCAGGAGAAAUGUUCUCAAACACAGAGCGGUUUGGACACAAAAGGGAUAGAUAUCUAAACCAAAGGAGGAGCAAGAUAGAUAUCUGAACACAAGGAGUAAACCACAGGGGUAUGUGGGAGGCAGGUCAUUGGGAGUGAAUUGAUUUGCUCUUUAAAAGAGCUGGCACAGACACCAGGCACUGUUUCUGUGUGUGAAUGUCUACAGUUCCGCCUUUGAUAGCUUUGUGUGGAAUAUUUUGCAGAAAAAAUGUUACUUGGGAAGAACGAAGAAGCGAGGAAGUGCAAGGUGGAAAGUGAAAAGACAGAUAACUCACUGAAUACAAUAGCAAAAUAGGCAGAGAAAAAGGAACUGGACAGAGAAGCGAAAGAGACGAAUAAAAAAUACAGA